rnacentral:tRNA from 3 species
GGAGGAGUCGCAUAGUUCGGCCUAGUGCGCGCGACUGGAAAUCGCGUUGGCGUUAAUAGCGCCUCGAGGGUUCGAAUCCCUCCUCCUCCG